UAGUAGAGUCAGUUACAAUCAUAAGCCCCUCAAAUAUAAAAUGAAAAAUGUUUCAAUGAGUCCAACGUCACAUUUGACAAUCAAUUACUUAUGCAUUUAUCCAGUGACCUACAAAAUCUCAGCACUCACUAUAGCAGAAUGAAGUUAUCAAAUUAAGCAUGUGACAAGUUUAUUUGAGCACUUGAAUUAGAUGACAAGCAUGAUUCUAUCCUAUCUACACAAAAACACUAAGUACAGCACGCAUAUGCUGAAGCUAUAAUGCACUGAUGUCUGUAUAAUGGUGCACUCUGAUCUGAUGAUGCACACUAACACACUAACACUCACCUUGAGCUCCUUCAGCCAGACCACAACGCCCCAUAAACAGCUCCAUGGUUUCAUUAGAGCUAAGCCCCAGAAAGACAAUGUCACUCGCAGGAGAGGCGCUGUGUCCCUCAAAUAAGUUAUUGCAUUAACUGUGCUCUGAAAUUGAAGCUUUGUGUGACAGUGUGCUUUCAUCUGUAAUCUCUUCUUUGGGGAUCACCACAUACUGUAUGGACACAUAAGGAGAAAGUAUUCAAUUCAUUUUAAAAGGAUUGUUCAACCAAUAUAUGUACAUAUCUUUCUGUAUGUUUCUCUCUCUCUCUUUCUCUCUCUCAAUAUUUUGGCCACUCUCAUUUCACUACACUCUAAAAAAAUAAAGGUUCUUCAUUGGUGUUGAUGGUCUCAUGAUCUUUAACAUCUUUCCAUUGCACUAAAGUUUCUCUGUAGUGGAAAAAGUUUCUUUAGAUUUUAAAAAUAUUUUUCAUACUCUUUUAAUAACUGUUCACUGAAAGGUUAUUUUGGAACCUUUCCAUUUAAGAGUGACUUUGAUUACAGUUAAUGAGUAGCAUGAACAAAUCAUUCUCUCUCUGAUCUUUACAGCCAUCAAUGCUGAAAACAUAUAUAUUGUUUUCCACAAAAACAUUAAGUUAAUACUACAUUUCAAUACUGAGAAUAAUCUAAUAAGUAUUAGAAUAAUUUUCUUGUCAUCACAGGGAAACGAACAAACAACAACAACAACAACAACAAAAUAUUUUUUUUAAAUGUAUAAAACCAGAUUUUUUUUUAGCAAAUACAUACAGCCUUAGUGAAUAUGAGAGACUUUUUCCAAAAAUGUAAGAAAAUCUCACCAACCUCAAUUUAAAAAAAAAAAAAAAGGGUACGGAGUACACAGGGCCUGAGGCCAUGUGGGGGUGCUUAGUCAGUUUUCUAUACAUACAUAUACAUGCACUAACAUUUUUAUAGCAUUUAUGUACAAAUAAAAAAGUACCUGUGCAAAACUAAACUUGUAGUUAGGCACUGAUUUGGUAUUUAAAAAAAGUCAUUUUCAUGCUGUGCAGGGCCCAACCCCCCCUCUCGAAUGAAUGUAAAUGGUACGACCCACAGUUCAGGUGCUUCUGCUGCGGACCUGCGGUGAAUGAGUUAAUAAGAGCUGGAGUAAACUUCCGUGAAAUGAACUAGGAAGACGGGAAGAGGCAUGUCUUUCAUUAAGAAAGGAAAAUCAGGGGCUCAAAACGAAAAUAAAAGAAGAUUAAAGAGAGAAAGGCAAAUGAGGGCAAGCAGUUGCUCACUCAGUUUUUUUAAAAGAAAGACCCUGCAGCAGCAGGCCCCUCAUCAUGGCCAGGUGAAAGCAGUGACAGUGAGACAAGGCUUCUCUCCAUCACAAUGUCAAAGAGCGGAAUAGACAGAACUGCCUAAAGCCAGCGGAGCAGUGGAGCGAAAGAGAAACACAGAGAGGAAUAAAAGACAGUGGCAGAACAAGGCAACAAGUAAAAAUAGUAGGGCAGCAGAGGAAUAUAGAAUAACUGCAAACCAGAACAAGUGUGAGAGUGAUUACACGUGACCGUGGGCCGGGGCCAGAGGGGUCACUCUCCUCCGUGCUCUUGCUCACUGCAUCGGUGUCAGAGUAUGUGAGUGGAACCGAGCGUCAGCAAUUUCCCAUCCCCACUCAAAGUCCCCUGAAAUCACUCCAUCCGAAAUCCACUCCAGAUUUUCCUUCUCUGAGUUCACUCUAUAACAACACUUGCACCGUCACAGCUCCACUGCAAAGAUCUGUAAAGUUCAAAAUGUUGUGAUGUUACAUUAUAUACCGAAACCCAGAGGCUUGUGUCAAAAAAUUAACAACAAAUUAAAAACAAAUUUCAUACGAGGCACUGCAUCAGAGCUUGGUUUGUUUUCACCAAAAGCACAUGAUCUAUGUUUAAAAUUCACAUUUCACAGAUUUUAUAUACUGACUCAAAUUACCCUUUAUGAUAGAUACUAAAAUAAAAUAAAAUUGUGAAAAACUUUGGGUUUAUGUGUCUUUGCAGAUAGCUUUCUGUAAAUUUAAGAUAUUGAAAGUGACUCAUUCAUACAGAGACAUAAAGCAUAUGAAGACUUGAUAUAUAAACAUAAAAAUUAAACAAUUUGUGGUUUAAUAUUUACUAACACUAGUCCAUGUUGUGACUUGAUUAAUUGUACAGCCCUACUUUCAAUUUAUCCAAAUAUUGCCAAAUUCCACAACAUUCCACAUUCCACAGCAAGUGUAAUUUUGGUGACUGGAUUCUGCAAUUCCAAUUGCAUUUUACACAUUGCUAAACUCAUAGGGCCCUAAUUAUUAUAUUAACAUAUAGAGGCAUAGUUUUGACCAUUGUCUUCCCAAGUUCAAAUUUGUUUUUCAUUCCGACUGCUGAUAAUUUAUUAACACACAUGAACUGUUAAUAUGUUGAUGGAGGAGUGGUAUAAUGGAGUGAAAGAAAACACAGACGCUCUGACUUUUAAACAAUCCACUCCUCGCUCCAAGCAAAAUCCCAUUUCCCGGCUUCACACAGAUUCCAAUCCAUGCUUGUUCCUCACUCCUUAAAUGAUGCCCCCCCCACCUCCGACCUCUUUGCAGUUCUUUGUCAGUCUUUUUCUCUCUGCUCUGAUGCAUUAACACAGAAGACCUGCCCGACUGCAAACGCAACACUAGCAGUGUUUGACAGCUGUGGCUUUGA